UACGAAGGGGGCUAGCGUUGCUCGGAAUUACUGGGCGUAAAGCGCACGUAGGCGGCUUCUUAAGUCGGUGGUGAAAUCCUGGAGCUCAACUCCAGAACUGCCCUUCGAUACUGGGGAAGCUCGGAGUCCGGGAGAGGUGAGUGGGAACUGGCGAGUGGUAGAGGUGAAAUUCGUAGAAUUAUUCGCAAGAACACCCAAGUG
rnacentral:rRNA from 1 species